UAUUACAUUAUAAAGUGGUUAAAUUUUUUAUUUUUGUUUCUUACAUACAAAAUAGGAAACAAUGUCUAAAACUCUUGUGUUUAUUUCUGCUAUUACUCUCGUCCUUUCUCUGUUUCUUGUAACCUACAACGGUAAAUCAUUCUCCUAAUUCUUUACAAAUUUUGUUUUUUCUUACCUUAUAGUAUUCAAUAUUUCACCCUCACAACAAACAUUCAUUUAUUUGUAUGUCACAGAUUCUGAGUCAAAAAAUAAUAUGAUAGACUCAACUCAUAUAUGCAAUUUUGACUCUGAUUGUCACAGUUUACCAUGUGGCCCCGUUGCAACUGGGAGAUGUAUUGAGUAUGGGUGUGAAUGUGUUUUGAAUGUUCAAAUCUUGGCCCCCUGCAUAUAUAAUGUAACGUCCUGUCAAUUGAGUUAAGCUCGCGACAACUGUAAUCAAUUUUUAUUUUAUAUGCAUAUGAUUUGUUUUCGUCGGUUAAUUGGUAAAUACCUUCAAAUUAUGAAGGGGUAGUUUAUAAAAAAAAAAACCAAAAAUAAAAUAUUAAGAGUUAACAUUAUACUCUUAAUUUAGUUUUAUACGGAGCAUUUAGUAUGAACCCGAUUCAAAACUAGACAUUAUUAGUUUUAAUAAAAUUUUAAUAAAAUAUGAUAUUUAUUUUCAUUUAAA
rnacentral:lncRNA from 1 species